AUAAGAGGUCCAGCCUGCCCAGUGACAAAGUUCAACGGCCGCGGUACCCUAACCGUGCGAAGGUAGCAUAAUCACUUGUUCUUUAAAUAGGGACUCGUAUCAACGGCAUCACGAGGGCUAUACUGUCUCCUCUCUCCAAUCAGUGAAACUGACCUCCCCGUGAAGAGGCGGGGAUUAUUAUAUAAGACGAGAAGACCCCAUGGAGCUUAAAACCCAAUAUACACCUCUACGCAUGUAAACCUCUCUAGCCCAAGAAAUUUGUAUGUUGGUUUUGGGUUGGGGGGACCGCGGAGAAAAAAUUAACCUCCACGACAAAUAGGCCAACGCCUUAAUCCAUGAACUACAAUUCUAAGAAUCAAUAAACUGAUGUUUAAUGACCCAAUUAUUUGAUCAACGAACCAAGUUACCCUGGGGAUAACAGCGCAAUCUACUUCAAGAGCCCCUAUCGACAAGUAGGUUUACGACCUCGAUGUUGGAUCAGGGUAUCCUAGUGGUGCAGCCGCUACUAAAGGUUCGUUUGUUCAACGAUUAAAACCCU
rnacentral:rRNA from 1 species